CUGAGACACCAGCUCUCAUCUUGGCUGUAUUACAAAUCAGUUACAAGUGCAACCUGCAACUCAAAACCACACAGCUGAUUUAAAAUUAUGCAAGCAAGCAGUUCAGCUAAUUGUAUAAUGAUACCUAAAUUACUGAGAUCACCCUGCCUGGAAAGGUCCUCUGUCCUGACUAGGAGGAAACAACUGUUAACUGCACAGAACAAAACAACUCUUCCAUUGCAACUGUUCUAAUUAGAAGUGAUCAGGUUUGAAUCAGGACGCUGCCAUUUGAAUGAUAGUACCGACUGAUUUGGAGACAGUAAUACCAUCUGAUGCUGUGCGUGAGGAACAUGCCCAGCUGGAGAAGCUUUGAAGCAGUCUGAGUAGGAGAGUGAAGCUCUGUGAUAUAAUUAUUCUGGAAAAUAAAGACUGUCUUAGUCAAA